GACGAACGCUGGCGGCGUGCUUAACACAUGCAAGUCGAACGGAAAGGCCCUGCUUUUGUGGGGUGCUCGAUUGGCGAACGGGUGAGUAACACGUGAGUAACCUGCCCUUGUCUUUGUGAUAACUUCAGGAAACUGGGGCUAAUACCGGAUAGGAUCUCCUGCUGCAUGUGGGUGGUUGGAAAGUUUCGGCGGUUGGGGAUGUACUCGCGGCUUAUCAGCUUGUUGGUGGGGUAGUGGCUUACCAAGGCUUUGACGGGUAGCCGGCCUGAGAGGGUUAACGGCCACCUUGGGACUACGAUACGGACCAGAAGCCUACGGGCGGCAGCAGUGGGGAAUAUUGCAGAAUGGGCGGAAGCCUGAUGCAGCAACGCCGCGUGCGGGAUGACGGCCUUCGGGUUGUAAACAGAUUUCGAAUGUGACGAAGAGUGCGUGACGGUAAUGGGUAAAGAAGCACCGGCUAACUACGUG
rnacentral:rRNA from 1 species